AUUAAGUUCACUCUGCCAUAGCAGCAUUGUGCAUUCAGUUCCAUUGGGAGUUCAGAUGAGAAAGGAAUCAUUUUCGAUGUAUGAGUAAGCAGGUUGGAUUUCUGGAUGCCCGCAUGACUAAAUAAGAUUCUAUUUUUACAAAGUUACUUUUUUGACCAUAAAUCCUUAACUCAUACAUCAUUCAUAGUUAUUUUUGCUGUGCAUAACAAGUAAUCAAGUGUCCAGGAAGAAACGUUAGCGCUUCGGAAAAAAACAGCGAUUUCAAAGCGUUGGAGCCAAUUUAUUCAAUAGGCUCAGAAAUAUGUUCGGAAAUAUGAGGAAGUAUUUUGGAUGCAACCAAACUUGAUUUUCAGGGAGGAUCAGCCUAGCCUAGGCUUGCCUCCUUGACCAAUCAUUUUGCAUGUUCAUGCAAGGGGAGGGGUUUUGAUGUCCUUCCUGAAAAGUGCCUGAUGCAAGCCACAAGGAACAUUUUGGGUUGGGAGGUUGGAGGGAGAGGUUGGCUGAGGCUGCCAGCUGGUCUUUCCUUUUGCUGCUUGACUCACUGAUUGCCUGCCUGGCCUGUUGUUGUGGGGCAGACAUUGAAAGAAGAACUUAAUCAAAAAGAAGAAGCUUUUAUUUUUUGGAUAAAAAAAAAGUACACCCAUAAAAGUGGAGAAAAAUCCAGAAGGUCGGUGGAGGAAGACAGGAAUAGAGAAGAGGGCAAUUAAAUGAUUUCUCCCAAACACCAGAUACUGAAAAUGACACCCACCAAUCAUGAAGACAGUAAAACCCUGUGCUAAUAGUUGGAGAAAUCAUUUGUCAUCGGCGGAGCAAUUACACUGAGAAAGAACUGACAGAACAGGCCACUUUCUGCUAAUCGUGGCAACAUUUUGCUGUACAGCAAGAAACCUUCUGCAAUCCAGCCAAGCUAAUGGGUAUGUGUCAAAAACAAUGUUUCUGCUGCAAAACCUGUGCUAUAUAAAAUAUUUUUCUGUCUUUCCCAGACAACUGCUUAAGAUGAUGAAUGAGGAGUUGUCAUUCUUCCAUAUAAUUAUUGUCUGGAAAAAUAAUAUUUGCUGACAGCUGACUAUGCUUUCUAAUAUUGAUUACCUGGAAGGUCUAAGGUGGGCUUAUAAAAAGGCUUUUCUAGUUUAUUAUCCUUUAUAAAUAAAAAAUGGUUAUAAAACAAGAGGAAAGUGUAGGGGAUGUUUACCUAAAAAUAAGAAAGCUGGGGAAAGAACCUUCCAUAGGAAAUCCAUGCAAAAGAAAGAAUAUGAUGGUUGCCUAAAAUAAUGAAGCAAUCUUGCCCAGACCAGCUAAUUAAAAAAGGAAGGGUGAAGUCGCCUUGUAUCUCAUAGGUGAAUGAUAUAUGCUGUAGAGGCAUAUAAUUAAAAGUCAUAUUAGGAAAUGUGAGAUGGAACACUUUUAAUAAUUAGAAGGCUUCACCUUCAAAUAGACAUGGAAGACAUCCUACCCUGAUUCACGAGAGAGAUCGUUGAUACUUUUGAUUCAUGAAGGACAUAUCACAGAGAAAAAGAGUUGCCCCAAGCCUUAGCUUUCAAGUGAUGGGAUUUUUGAAGAA